rnacentral:lncRNA from 1 species
AGACUAGGGGUGAGGCUGCUGCGAGGAAGACCCGGUCAGCUGUCCCUUCCCCCAUCGGUCCUCUUAGGGGAAGUGGAGAUGUGGGCCUCGGAGCUGCGUGGCCCGGGCUGUGCGGAUUCCCUAAACGCCGCACUUGCGCACAGCCCCUUACGUAACCGUCAGUGCCGGGGAUUCCCUGGAGGGGGUCAUUCUAUUCAACCAUUAUACACACCCCGGGCUCCUGCCGCCGCGCCGCCGCCGCCUCACAAAAUGGCGGCGCCCAUAGAGGAGACCGCGGCCGCCUCCCCGGCCCCAUUUUGUGGGAGGCGAGAGAUCUGUCAACAUGGAAAACCUCUGCUGAGGAUGCAUCCGAGUUUGGAAACCCCACUUAAGGGAUGGAGCCUGGGGGAUCACAUUAAACGGAAAAUGCCAACGACUUCUACCACCUCUACGCGUUUUUAGUUUUUCAUUUUCUCGAAGGAAGCGCCAGAAGCCUGUGGAGUAAUUGUAACUAGAGGGAGAACGGAAAGCUGAGGUGACUGCUCCGGGGACUUGGCGCGGCGCCUUGGUGGCUUUGGUUGCUCUUCCACGCUCCCGGCAGCUGACCAGAAUCUCUUGGAGGGUCUCCUGGGCCACCUCGGCCGCGCCAGUCGUGCAGUGAGACUUCUGUAGUUUUAAAAUGCCACAGUCCACGGCCCGGUCGGCACCGCUCGCCUGAAUCGUGGGCUUUGGGAACCUUGGAGGCUGCUGCUCCAGGAACUCGCGGUCGGCCGGGAGCCGGGGAGCUUCGUUGCUGGGAGCGGGCGGUAUUCGCGGACUCCGGCGGCCCUGGCGGGUCGCGGCCGGGAUCCGAGCCGGGGAUGACGAUGCUGAUGGAGCUGAUGGGGCAAGAGUGGGAACGGAGGCACGUACACUGAAAUUUAAGUCAUCCAAGUUGGGACUUAAGAUAGCAGGUUAAUAUUGUCUCAGGCGAGACUUAGAACGUCUUUUCUGGUAUCCCAGUCUGCAGUGGGCAAAUCUAUUGUCUUUAUUUCUCAUUUAAGGGCAGAAUGGAGGGAUGACAUAUUUUUACUUUUCAAGAGGCGGUUGCCACUUUUAAGUCACUGUUGUGUGUGUGUGUGUACAUACACAAACAUACGAUAGUGUGUUUUCAGAGCAAGUAUCAAAGGCUAAAGACUUGGAGUGAUACUAGUGUUUAAAAGCCUUUUUAAAAAAAUUAAGAUGUGAUGAGAAACUGGAGAAUUGACUUUUAAAAAUUUCUUUUCUGUAGAAGAGGCUAUCUUCAAAAUGGAGUCCUAAAGUAUAUCUGAUGGAUAGAAUUUAAAUUCUUAACACUGUAUAUACCCUGUGGUCAAAAGCAUCAACGUAAAACUUGAUGUUUAUCAGAUUACUUAUGUUUCAAUUUUCCUGUGGUUAGAAAAAUUAAGACAGAAGUAAGCUAUUAACGGUAUUUGCUUGUAAGAGUAACGUUAAAGGUUUAAGGAAAGGUUUGUUGAAAUCGAUAUGCAUCACACGAAUCAUUUAUUUUCAAUGUUGUUUUCCAGUUGCAGCAAUCAUUUGUGUUUACAUGACUUUGAAAAAGGGUUUAGUUUAUGUUGAUUUUGACCCUCUUAUUUAAUCUCUAGUGCAGAAGUGCAGCUUUCUGCAGGCUGCGCCUCAAUCGCUAAGUUCCACUCUCCAUCCUCUGCCGCGCUACUCCUGGCAUGUGGAUCACCAAGAUACAAUUUCUGGUCCUGUCUGUUCUUAUUGAUGUCCUUUACAGUUAAUAAAUUUGAUUGCCACUAAUCAGUCUGUAUCUCUUGCAAAAACACCACAUUUAGCAUCCAAGUAGAGUCAGAGUAUGUUUUUUAUGAGAUUGUACUAAAGUAACCUUCUAUUACAUUUCUUAUUACCAUAUUGCAUUUCCUAUAGUGGGCAGCAUAGAGCAGGUGGAUCCUGACAAAGUAAUGUUAGAGAUGUGCUGACAGCUUUACAAUAGAUAUUCUCCAACUAAUUUGACAAGAUAUAAAAUAAAAUGUAGUUCGUAGUUUUCAAGCAUUAAUGGAAAGUGUUCCUAUUAAAAAAUUACCAAUAACAGUGGAAAUUGUUGCAAUCCAAUUUGUAUAGUUUACUGUUUUGAUGACAAAGCGCUUAUGAUGGGAAAAAUGUAGUGUUGCUUUUGUAACUGCAAACGCUGCACGCCGUAAUUAGAGGUUUAUGUUAUUUUAUUUGAAUUUUUCAUUCUUACCAUCAGUUUUCAUAUUAGUCAGGAAAUUGUGAUAAAUUAAAAAUUCCCUCAUUCAACUAAACCUUAAAAAACUGUACCCAGUUUCAAAUCAAGCAUUAUCAGGUGUAUGAUUACAACAGCUGAAAUAAAUUGAGGAAUUGGUAUGCCAACUCAGUGGAGAAAUUUUGGGAUUUUAGGUCACUCUAAGAUUUAAAAAAAUAGUUUGAUUCGUUAAACAAGGCUAUUGAAGUUAAAUUGAUAUUUCCUUAAAGAUGAUUUUAGAGAAAAAUUCCUUGGCGAGCUUCGAGAAUGCGUUCAUGGCUUCUGUUGCCUGUACCUACUGCUAUACUUUUUUAUGUGGACUAAUUUGUCUUAUUUGAAAAUUUGAUUACAAUAUCAAAUCCUAGAUGAAGCCCUUCCAUUCUUAGGGUGAUUCUAAGGAGUACUGAUAACUAAGCUCUUAAAAGGCGAGGAAAUAGUUUAUUCUACUGCAGAUUAGGGUAAUCUUAAUACAGACACUCUGAUGGUAAUUCUAAGCAGUGUUGAUAACUAAGCUUUUAAAAGAUAAGGAAAUAGUUUAUUCUACUUCAGAGUAGGGUAAUUUUAAUGCCCUGAAUAUACUCUGAAUCUUUUAUAGAUAGAUUUCUGGAUGAUUUGGCCCAAAAAAUCUGAUAAGCUUUGGGGAAUUUUUUAAUUUUUUUUUCUCUUAAAGAGAAAUCAGAAAUGUGGGAUUUUUUUAAAAAUUUAUUUUCAGUAGAUAUUGGAGAUUAUGCUUUGUACAUUAAAUCCAGUUUGAUUUUUAAGUGAUAAUUUUCAAUUAAAGACUUUUUAAUAAGACAACUAAAAAAUUAAAUUUUAGUCAAUUACAAUAAUAUUUUUUGGAGAAGCAUUCCCAGAUGUGCUUUUGACGGGGAGUUGAUUUCAUUAGUUGUUUGGGUUGUUUAAUCCAGAAUUUUUAAAACUGUUAUGGGUUUAAUUUGCUACAUUUGUCCAUUCUUAUUCAUUUCAUCUGUUUUGAUCACUGAAAAGUUGUCUAAAAACUGUGCUCAUUAUACACAGUUUAUAGUAUUUUAAUACUUUGUUUAUAGUAUUUAAUAGCUUCUGAAAACUUUAAGAGAACAUACUAAACCAAGGAACUAUUUAUUAAUGGUAAUCUAUAUUUAGUAAUAAAUAUAUUUGUAACUUACUAAAUGUAAGUUUACUAAAUGUAGAUUACUAAAUCACUGAGUAAAUAUUUCUUGAAUAUUUGGACAAGAGAUGGGGGGAGGGAGAAUGACUUGACCCUCAAGAAACUUAACUGCUACCUUUAAAAGGUUAUAAUGAAGCUGGGCACAGUGGUACACACCUGUAGUCCCAGCUACUCAGGAGGCUGAGGCAGGAGGACCCCUUGAGCCGAGGAGUUCGAGGCUCUGUCUCUUAAAACAAAAAAAGUUAUAAAAAUAUUCAGACUGGAGGGUUCCUAACUUUUAAUACUUAAGCAGGGUCUUUACCACAGAGUUAAAUUUAAAAUUCUGUUUAGAAUGGUAACAAAUUUAAUUAUGUACAAAACAGCAUCACUUUAGUGUUAGGAUCAGUGUUACUCAAAGUGUUGUAAUGUUAAUAACAAGCAUUUAAAUCACAUUGUUUGAAAACUGGGAUCUACAAAAAAUAUGAUUCCAAUAAUUAACUUUUUAAUUAUGGGAAAGGCAAGGGAAUGUUCAGUGAAUGUAAAAAAAAUAUACUACUGAGCAAACAAAUUGUUUUAAUGAAUUUUGAUUUUCUGUUUUAAUUUUUUGGUACAUUGACUCUUCUUGACAUGGCACUUUGCUAUUAAUUAAAAAAAAUUAAACCCCAAAGACAAAUUAAUUCUGUAUUUAAUGCAGAUUUAAUUCUUGACUAGCUGUAAUGCUUAAGGAGUUGGCAGUCUUGUUGGCAAAACAAUAAAAUAGGAAUUAAGCUGAAAUGUAAAAUUGUGUAAUAAUUAGGUUUCAUUAAAGUAUAUAUAGUUUCCUUAAUAACUACAUGAGUCAGUAGUGUUGACUUAAUAAUAAGUUAUUUAGCUUUUGCUUUUCUCUGAAAACAUAUCAAACUCUUCAUAUAUAGCAUCGAAAUAGAUAUUCAACCUGAGCCACUGUAAAUUGUUGAAGCUUAUUGCUAUACAUUAAGGGAAAUUCUAUCCAACAGUUCAGUGUAAACAAUUUUUUAAAGGUGCUAUGAUUCUUUAACAUGAUUUGUAGUAUGUAGAACUCAAGUAUUCUAGAAUAAUCUUUGCAUGAUAAUGUAUGAGAAACAUUUAUAAACAGUCCUUCAGGUGUACAAAAUAACUGACAUAAUAUUUUGCAUUUAACUACACUGCCUCCAAGUAUUUUAAACAAAGAUGAAAUUUUUAGAGUAUUGUGCUAUAUUUUUAUAACUGAAUUUCCCUCUUAUUAACAAUACUCAUAACAUUUAGCCAUUAAUGAUUACUGAUAGCUUAAAUAAGAGUGUAGUUUCUGUUUCUAAUGUCUAUUAAUUUUAACCCCAUUUAAAGAUAUUUCCUACUUAUCAUACUCAAAGUUAAUCAGAAGUUAAAUAAAUGAUGGUCCUUCUGGUUCUCUGGAAACUGAAAAGAAGCUUCUGUUUCUUUAGGGUAUGCAGGAAUUUUUUUUCUUCCCAGUGAGCUGAAUCCAUCCUUUACGCUGCUAUUUGCUAACCUCAGUUGUUUUUCUGCUCCAUUAAAGUUGAGGCCACCAAAAAUAGUAGUAAUAUCACAACUACAAAACCCUGGGUGGAUUUGUACCCAUUGCACAUACACUUCUUGCUGCCAAUUCCUAAGAGACUUUUGAAAUAAUAGUAUAUUCCCAGCUGGACAAUAUAUUCUACUUGUGGCCUAUGUAUAGUGUUCAACAAGUCCAGGAGCCCUAUGAAACGGAAUGUGUUUACUGCAUUUUUCUAGGGAGAAGUUCUCAGCAGGCACGGGCAUCUUAAAGACCCUGUGAUGCCCAAAAGGUUAAAGCUCUAUUUGCUAAUGACAGAUAGUAAGUUUGGAGGAUUGCUUCAGGUGCAGCAUUUUAUUUUGUGGGUUGUUGGCCUGUAGGGAAAAACAUUUUGAAAUUGUAGUUAAGGAAUACCACUUCAGUUCAUCAAAUUAAAAAAAUUAUGGCAAAUAAGCAAAAAUCUAUUUCUAAAGAACUACAUACAAUAUAUUCUUACAGAAAAUUUUAGAUUAAAUGCAUGUAACUGUUUUUUUGGUUUGCCAUGUAUUGAAAAUGGAUGGAUGGGGGAUUACAUUAGUUGAUGUAUUUAUUUAUUUAUUUUUGAGGCGGAGUCUCACUCUGUUGCCCAGGCUGGGGUGCAGUAGCGCAGUCUCGGCUCGCAACCUCUGCACCCUAGGCUCAAGCAACACUCGCACCUCCACCUCCUGAAUAGCUAGGACUACAGGUGCACGCACCAUACCACACCUGGCUAAUUUUUGUAUUUUUUUAUAGAGACAGGGGUCUUGCUAUGCUGCCCAGGCUGGUCUUAAACUCCUGAGCUCAAGCAAUCUGCAUGCCCAAGCCAUUGGCCCAUCUUGGCCUUCUAAAGUGCUGGGAUUACAGGCGUGAGUCACCAUGGUCAGCCCAUAUUAAUUUAAAGUAGGCUUCAAAUAUAAUUAUUCACUAAUUGGGAAUGCCUGGGGAUGUAUAUGAAUGUAUUACCGUUUUGUGAGUAGUAGUGUGUGCUUGUGUUCAUGGAUGGCAUUCAUCAGAAUGUUUGCAAUGGUGUAGCCAGGUUACACUGCCAUCUUCCUGUUCUCCUUUGUGCUUACUUGCUCUGCCUGUAUUUGCUGCAGUUUCUAGCGAGUGUAUGUAGGUGUUGGCCCAGAACUUGCUUUUGUAGAGAUCAUACAUUGUGCUAAUUUAUCCCAAAUCAGUUUUUGUGUAUUAUCUGUGGGCCCAAUGUGUAAUUUGAACUUUAAGGAUACUACUUCAGACUGCAGUGUAGCAUAACCUUUAAAAAAAAAAAUGCUAGUUUUGCCCUAAUCUGUGCAUAUUCCAGUUGUUCAAUGGGUAUUAGUAAUACAUGAAUUACUUCUGUGCCCUUUUUGGUGUAGAGUCUCAUAUGAAUAAUUACUGUUAUUUAAAACCCACGACUCCAUGCAUUGUUUUGGUGGGAGAGGGUAGUUUCCCAUCAUGUUUUACAUAUAUGUUAGCAUUCAGAUUUUCCUUUUUAGCCCACUCCCUACUGAACUGAAGGGAAAGGGCGUAUUUGAGAGAAAACAUAUGCUUUACUCAGGUUCCAAUAAUUAAGCCAAUGCACUUGAUUUAAGUUAUACAUUUAGCUCAUUCUUAAAGUGUAAUAAAGACUUUAAGCCUCCUGGCUCCCAAAUCAGUGCUUUUUCUACUAAACAUUCUUUCUGUCUUGCUAAAAAAAUCCAAUUUUCAGAAUCAAGUUAGUUGCUAAGCAAAUAUGCAUAAAACCAUACAUUUAUCUGAAUUGUUUCUAAUUUAAGGAGUAGUAUAUAAAAGUUUCAACAGAAAUCAUUGAUUAGUAAAAGUGAUGGAAAAUCAGCAAAAUAAAAAUAGAAUUAGAGUAGGCUAAAAGGCCCUUCUUUAGGGUAAUCGGAAAACUGAGUUCAAAUAUAGGGUCUGGGACUUCUCAGGUGAUAUUUUAUCUUAAAUUAGAAUCUGCAUGAGGUAGGGUGGGGCCACUCAUGCCUAUAAUCUCAGCACUUUGAGAGGCCGAGGCAGGAGCGUCCCUUGAGACCAGGAGUUCGAGACCAGCCUGAGCAACAUAGCAAGACCUUCUCUCUAUUUUUAAAAAACUAAAAUUGGAUUUAAAUAAAGAAUCUGCAUGAACUUUCUUGUCACUUAUUCUUACAUAUUAUUUGCCAGUGUGCGAUACUUAAUAACCAAGUAAGACACUUGAAAUGAGUCUUUUAAGGCUACAACUUAGGUAACAUUUUAUAAAUAUUACUGCUACAUACAUAAUACAGUAACUUUUUUUAGCCUCACAAUAAUACCUUGUACAAUUUAUAACUGCUAAAGGGCCUAUAGAAGGCUACCCACCUAUGUAAAAAAAAAAAAAAAAAAAAAAAGGUCCUAGCUCUGUCUGGUGUAGCUUGGCAAAUUAUUUUUGAUAUGAAUUGCCAGGAAUAUAGGGGUAUCAUUCCUUGCUGAUAAGAGCACAUACCCUUCCUUUGCUGGCUAAGCUAUGUGAUUCUGUAGGACCUUAGUGUCAUGGCCAUCCUUUCAGUAGUAAGCAGAUUUAGAGAAGUUGUCCCAUUGUUACCUUAUUUCAAUAGUUUUUGGUCUUUCUAUAUUGUGCAUAACCUCACUUAAUCAGAUUGUUAUGACUGUUUCCCCCCAGGAAGUAUAGGAAGAUAAAAAAAAAAAAAAGCCAGGCCAGAUAUAUAUGACUGAACGUGAGCUCAGCAAAUGAUAUAGGUGUCUUAAACAUACUUUCUUUUUUUUUUUUUUAAAGGGAGGGGUUCUGGCUCUGUCACCCAGGCUGGAGUCCAGUGGCUCAAUCAUGGCUCACUGCAGCCUUGACCUUCCCAGGCUCAAGCGAUCCUCCUGCCUCAGCCUUCUGAGUAGCUGAGACUACAGGCAUGCAGCCCCACACCCAGUUAAUUUUUUUAUUUUUAUUUUUGUGGAGACACCGUCUUGCUGUGUUGCCUAGGCUGGUCUUGAACUCCUGAGCUCAACCAGUCCUCUCACCUUGGCCUCCCAAAAUGCUGGGAUUACAAGCAUGAGCCAGGGCACUUGGUCCAUAUUUUGUUUCUUAAAGUCACAAGUUAAAGCUGGAGGUUUCACCCAGAAUCAAAGUGCCAGGUAGCAUUUUAGUCCAGCCUAGGAUAAGCAGCUGAGUUUCCAUGAACACAGUACAAGAAUUCAGGGAUAUCACUUGCUAAAUGUAAACCAGUUACCUCCGUAAUUUCCCAAAAAUUUUAUUGUGACAAACGAGUGCCAUACUCUGAACAUUAAAGGCUUUUACCUCCAGCUGUCCAAACAUUGUGCAUGUUAUUCGGGUAGAGGCACUGGUAUGGUAGGAGUUUCUCCUUUAGUGUCUUGUAAUUGACAACAGAUCCAGCAUUUAUGGAAUGUAUUGUUAUUGUAACUUUUGAGUUUCCAUAGCCAAGAACGUAAGAGUAAUAACUAGGUAUAGUCCAUUAUUUUUAGUAAAGUUAGUUUUAGUUAGCCUUUGAUGGUAGACACUUCUCAGGUUAUAAUUCAGACUCAAUAACAAAGCCAGAAAGUUCAGGAAGGGUAGGGUAGUGCUGUGGUCUGAAUGUUGAAAUCCUAACUAUCAAGGCAUUAGGAAAUGGAACCUCUAAAAGGUGAUUAGAUCAUGAGGGCAGAACCCUAAUGAAUUAGUACCCUUAUAAAAGAGACCCCAGAGAACUGGUUUGCCCCUUCUGCCUUGUGAGGUUACAGCAAAAAGACCAUCAUAUAGGAAGCAGGACCUCACCAGACACCAAAUCUGCCAACGCCUUAAUCUUCGACUUCCCAGACUCCAGAACUGAGAGAUAUAAAUUUAUUAAGUUUAUAAGCUACCCAGUCUUUGGUAUUUUGUUAUAACAGCCCAAACUAAGGUAACAAGAAGCAAUCCUCACAGUGCUUGCUUAAUGUCAUGCACCUGUCAUUCUAGUGGUGCUCAUUUGCCAGUCUUUUUUUUUUAUGAAAGAAAUUAGCAGUCCUGCUUUCUCUUGUUUUGAGUGACAGGUCUCAGGUAAGGAUUUAUUUUCCAGAAAGAAAGUGACUAAAUAGAUUCCCUCCAGAAAGAUUUUCAGAUCAGUAGAUCUGCCUUAAACUAAUGUAGUCUUUGGACCCAGUUCAGAAGUGGCCAAGGCCAAUCCUCAAUGCAUGAAAGUAAAAGUUAGACUGUAUUUAAGGGAGACAAAUUACUAGUUAGGAACCAUCGAAUGAGGUCAGAGGCAAGACCUUACUAACAGAUGGGCAAGUUAAAUGCUAUCUUCUGAAAAUUUUAGUUGCUUCAUGAUGGACUCAUUUGGAGCAUAUCUGGAAAGUUUUUUGGACAUGUCUAAAACACGGGGUUGAAUUUUCCUUACAAGCCAGGGUUAGGACAGGAGGUCGACCUGCUGUCUAGAUAGUCUCAGCACUACCAGAAGCUAUUUGUAAGCUGUACUACUAGUCUGGUGACUCAAGUAGGAAGUGUCCAGGAACCUUUCUUCUAGACACUGCGAGAAACCAAAGAUUAGUAAUAAGAAAUUGUUUGAUAGACAAGAUGAACAUCUUAAAGCAUAGAUUCAAGACAGAGGACCUUUGUACCUGACAAGUACUCAGGAAGACUUGAAAAGGGCCCCCGCAGGUGAGUUUCAGGCUCUGUCUUCCACUCAUGAACCUGCAAAAUCCAAUCCUUGCUGCUGAAGAUUUCUUAAGAAAAAUGAACAGUGUACCUGGCCACUUCAGUGUCUUUAGAAUCCCAUCUUGGUGUUAUACUUUGCCUAUUGAUUCUAGAUGGAGAGGUAUCAAAUGCUUUACAAAAUCUCAAGGAGUUAUAAACUACUUUUACAAUCUGUGUUAUAAAGUGUAUUCCCUGGUUAUUAUAAAUAGGCAAAAUGCUAUUCCAAAUCUAACAAUAAAGACUUUUGCCAAUACUCAUUGUUUCAGCUUUCAAAUAUGUUAAGUAUGUUUUCUACCCAUCCUACAAAAGUAUACAUAAUCACUAAAACUUAUGAACAACACAUAUAUGAUAUUAACCUGAAUAUUUACAGAGAGCUCCCCGGAGGGAUGAUUUUAUUUAUUAUGUUAAUUCUCUAUUUGUUUAGUUUGUGACCUGAUCUUAAUAGUAACAAGUGAAUGAGUUAGCAGAGGAAAUCAGUUAAUAAAUAUAAGAGCAACAAUGCCUGUGAAGAAGUCACCACAUGGGCCAGGCACAGUGGCUCAUGCCUACGUCUGUAUAAUCCUAGCACUUUGGUAGGCUCAGGUGGGAAGAUCCCUUGAACCCAGGAGUUUGAGACCAGCCUGAGCAACAUAGCAAGACCUUAUCUCUACUAAGAAUAAAAUUAAAAAUAAAAACAUGAAGAAAUCACCACAGCCUUAGUUUAGUAACGAUAACAGUAUUUUGUAAUAUCCACAGCAGAGGAGACUAAGGACUAGAUAUUUUAGCUCCUCCAGAAGCGAGGAAUGUUUAUUGUUUUUACAAUUGUCUACAAUCAAGAACUACCCAAAAGCUUGAGGAGCAUCAGUCAUUUAUGACUUUUCAGAAGUUAAAGUAUCAUCUCAGGUGAGGACAGCACUUUCUGCCACCUAGGAAGAAUAUGGAGAAAGCAAAAUUUUUUACUACUUUGUCUUAAGAACAGACUGCAUGUCUAGAAGCCAAUUUGGUUUUUUUCUCCAAGCUGCCAGUUCCCUCUUCAAUAUUAUACAGUGUUUUGUUUUGGUCAUAGCACCAAUUACUAAUUUAAAUGAGAUUUAACGAAACUCUUUCAAUAAUAAAUAAUACAUAACAAAAUACGUGUGUGACCAUAUAUUUGCAAGAAAGGGGUUGUGCCAUGAAUCUUUUUUUCUCAGUUUAACAAAUAAAUUUGCAAAGGCAACUUUCAGGAAUCAGAAUGUUAUUUUAAAUAUUAUUAACAAGACAACAAAUUAUUCAGACAACUAAUCAGAAUUAUAGACUUUAAACUUACGUUAUUUUUCACAGAAUAUAGCAACACUGAAAUCCAGGCGUCCAGGAAGACUAUUUUACUUGAAAUAAUAUUUUUAAACCCAGUUUUAUGAUAUAGAAUAGAAUUCUAUUUGCUUUUCUGCAGCUUUAGGGAAGAGGGGACAUUUUCCCCUUUUGAUAUUGCUGGUUUUUUUUUUUUAUUUUAAGAAAACAGCAAUUAGAAGUGUCUAAAUAUCAGAUUUCCAUUAGCUAGCAUCAAGAGAGAAGAGUAGGUACAAACUUAAAAUUCAGAAAAGGACAGAAAGGGCCAGGCAUACUGGCUCAUCCCUGUAAUCCCAAACUUGGGGAGGCUGAGGUAGGAGGAUUGCUUGAGGCCAGGAGUUCAAGACCAGCCUGAGUGACGAAGCAAGAUCCCGAUCUCUACGGAAAGAUCAGCCAUUCCUGGUGGCUCGCAGCUGUAGUCCCAGCUACUCAGUAGACUGAGGCGGGAGGAUUGCUUGAGCCCAGGAGUUCAGGGCUACAGUGAGCUGUGAUGGCACCACUGCACUCCAGCUUGGAUGACACAGCAAGGCCCUGUAUCAGAAAAUAAAGAGAAAAAGGACAGAAAGAUAAUGCUAACAAAUGGAAUAUGGAGCAUAUAAUGUCUUGCCUCUACAUGUAAUUAAGAAUAGAAGUAAAAUUUAUCUCAGAUUAAGAUUUUUUUUGAAACAAUCUCAACAGUCUAUAUUCAGAUAAGACAGAUUUUAAUAAAAUUAUAUAUGUCAGUCAUCUGUUUCAAAAAUUUCAGGGCUAUUUUUAGUCUUUAUCAAGCAUAACUUACAGUUAUAGAUAGUUGUGGUUUUAGAAGCUAUUCUAUUUGUUAUUCCCUCUGUAUCCCUUAAUCCCAUGCCUCAAAUUAUUUCAGAAUACUUUCCCAAUAAAUGUACUAACUUGUUCUUUUGUAUUCCAAAAAUGUGAAAGGUGUUAAAAGUUUGUGUUUUCAGUGCCUUUGGAAACACUUAAAAACGCAUCUUUGAAAUUGUGUGUCCAAACCAGUAUUUCCCAAAAUGUGCCAUGAUCUGUUUAUAGGUGUUGAGUUAAAUAUAUGUAUACACACAUAUAUUAUAUACACAUAUAUA